GCCAGCAUGGCUCAGUAGUUGAGCAUCUACCUUUGAACUAGGAGGUCAUGGUUUGAUUCCUGGUCAGGGCA
rfam:Myotis davidii contig115469, whole genome shotgun sequence.